AACAACUUUUUCGUUAGCGAAAAUGUUGUCCGAGGCUUCGUUAAGGAGAUAUUAACAGAAAACGUCGACCAAUCAGAGCGCGCGUGUGCCGUUAGAGCGGCCGCGGUAACGAAGGCUACGCACUGAGCGGCCGCGCUCAUACGCAAACAAGUGACUCGGCGUGCAUCGAACUUUGAGCUCUAUCCUAACUGGAGUGUGAACUCCCGUAGGAAGAAGUAAAGGCGACAGAGGUUCGAGAAAAGUGCAAAAUGUGUGGUUCCGGUAUUAUCCUAUUGGAAAUUUAUUUGUAGAGGGUGAACAAACGUACACCGUAACAUAACCUACCCGAGCAUCGCUGAGCAUUGUCGAGGUGCGCAGGAGGUAAACUAGCGCCACUAACGGAUCGGAGGUGAACUACUAUAUAGUGAGCUGGCGCCACCAACGGACAGUAGAAGAACUACUAGAUAGCUGGCAAAAAAUUUGUAUGACAAUAUGGCUGCUUCGCUAUCGCGCUGUCCACUGCAGCGCUGCUGUCGUCUCUGCUGCGGUGUUGUGUUAGUAGUUUAAAGACGCUUUUCAGUAUGGUUCAGUAUCAUAGUAAGUUUAAAAAAUGCCCGCGGUCAUAAAUUUCUCUUUUAACUCUUUCAGUGCCGAGAGCCGAUAUAUCGGCCCUUGCUGCACUGGCGAGAAGUGCCAGAGCCGAUAUAUCGGCCCGAACCUUGUAGCGUUUUACUAUUCGCAUUGCGAGAGAACUCUAUAUUGUCUGUAUAUUGUUAUCUGUAUAUUGUAUCUAUAAAUAUAAAUUUAAUAAUGGGAGAUAAGCAACAUAUUUAUAAAA